CGGAGAAGGUGGCACCGUGGGGACAUCGCGUAACAGCAGGAAGCGGGCGAGGGGGACAGCGGCCAUCACCUCACCUCUGGCCACCCCCAGGGUCUCCCCGGCUCCGGCAAGCCCCCCRUCACCUUAACUCCGCCCACCAAAGCGGGACCCAAGCAGCGGAGCGACAGGGUGACAGCGGAGCCUUGUCCCCGCCGGGUCCCCGAGGGCGGGAGGAGUUGGGGACCCGGGUGGGGGGGUGUCGGGGUCACCUGACGCCUGUGGGCGGAGCCCUGGGAGGAAGGAGGUGGAGGAGACCGGGGGCAACUCGGCCUUGACUGGGUCGGGCUCAAACCACCUCCCAACGGUCAACGUCAACCCAACGGGAAGAGGCUGAUCCACCAAUGGGCAACCUCGGUGGGGAACAGGCCAAUCGGAGAACGCCUGGUUGAUCGGCACCCAGCCAAUCACCAACAGUCACUCCAGGUCUUCAGGGACCCAAGCGGGAAGAUGGAAACGCAACCAUAAGCCAAGUCUUGAAGGGGCCAAUCGGAAGAGGCCGAGCUCUGGGCCGAGCCAAUCACCACGGCCGAGCAAAGCCUGGAAGAACCCAACUAGGAGAGGUCGACCAAAGCCAAAACCAAUGCAGCCACCACCAGCCAAUCGCUGUCUUGAUUGAAGCAACCGAAGGCCAAACACCUCUCCACCAACCGGAAGAGGCCAAUCCAGGCCCGCCCCAAGGCGGCCACCAAUGGUCAAGCCUGGAUCCGGAUCAAGCCGCUCCCCAAUGGCCCAAUCCGGUCUCGACCAACUCAGCUCAGGUCUUAACAGGCCAAUCCGGCCACCAAUGGCCAACGCAGGUCUACAACAGGCCAAUGAGAAGGCACCAACCAAAGGCUGGUCCCAACGAACCAAUGAGAGGAAGGCGAGGACGGCCACGGUGACGAAGAACUGGGCGGCGGCGGCGAAGUCGCCGACCAGGUGGGUCUCGGCCGCCGCCGUCUCGUUGCAGAGCUGCUUCAGCGACGGGGUGAAGGUGGCGUAGUUCAACCUGGGGCGGGGCCGGGGGACACGUUCGGCUCCCGUCCCGCGGCCCAGGGCGUCCUCCUGCCCUUCUCCA
rnacentral:lncRNA from 1 species